GGGGCUGGGAAGAGAGGAGGGGAGAGGGGCCCUGCGCUCCCCCUCCCCGGCCUCCAUCCCCGGCCCCCACCCCCACCCCCACCCUGCCACAGCUUCGGGACGACUGGAUCGCCGCGCCUGGGCCGGAGCGAGCCAUCUGCGGGCACUAUGCAAAGCGGGAGACGGCGCGAGCGGCGCCCGGCUCACACUAGCUCUUCCAGGACGCAGGACAGAAGAGCUCCUUGGCACUGGAUGCCUCCGGGUCUGGUUGAGAGAGGAAUGGUUAGGAGACUGUUCUGAGGAUACGCAGACAUCAUCCAAAGCUUCCUACAUUCAGAUGAGGACAGAGGUUGGGCCAGAGCUUUGUAAGCUUGUUACCUAAGGAUGGUUCUGACCAUGUAAGCAGAUCACAGAAGCUGGAGGCAAAGGAUGCCAAGAUGGGAAAGCCACAUAAUGGAAGGAUCCUGGAUUUCAGAGCUGUCACUUGGAGGAGGGGCACCCAGUGAAGGUGUCUUAUCUAACCCACACCAUAUCUUCAUGAAGUGGCCAUAUGGAUUUGAUCCCUAUCCUUCAGAGGUGCUCAGCCUAAGGGAACACGGAUAGUAGAUUAAGCACUGACCAGGUGAAAAAGAUUGAUCAUCAGAUGUUUCUUAUGUAUCAACCUGAUAUUUAAAUCCAUGAAGGACAGAGACGACAAAGGCAGGUGGAAUAGAUAGAGAAGAGAUUCAAGGUCUGAGCUCUACAUUACUCAAACUGUUAGAGAUUAGGAAGAAGAGGAAGACCUGGCAAAAGAAUGUCCUGGGAUGUAGAAAGAAAACCAGAAGCUUGUGUUCUCUGGAAACCAAAUGAAGAAAGGGCUUCCAGAAGGACAGACAAAGUGUAGUGUGUCAAAGGCUCCUGAGCAAUCAGAGGAGAGCACAAAGGGGCUCACAGGACUUUGGUAUCUGGAUCACCCAGUGACACUUCCUGAUCACGAGAAACUGUCAGACCAACAGGGGCACUUUCUGAAACCAGCAGUUCUUCAGUGCCCAAAUGCAACCUUGAUGGUUUGAUUUUGGAGGAUGGCAAUUCAUUAACAGCACUCCCCAGUGAUAAAUAUGAAAACCAAUAAAACCCCCCACCCAAGGCAAUCUCUCCCAGCUCCUCGCUUUGAGUAAAGUGAGUAACCUCCAUUUCUGCCAACUCCUGUCUUGUCUGAAGCCACAUUUCCCCAGCAAUGUCACAUAUGCAUUUCUUGAUCCUGGUCAUUUCUCCUCUUGGGAGAUGAAUCAUAAAGAAAAUGAGAUCUGUGUGCCCUGGUGACUAUGGAUGCAAGAGUCUGCUGCCCUGGAGGGAACAGCUGGAAAAGUAGAUGGUGAAGACGUGUGGGGGGGAAACAGUGGAGAAGGCAUCUUUGCAGGGGAUCAAGGUGACAGAGUGAUUAGUUACACUGUUUUGACAUGUGAGAACAGGGGGUUAUAAAAAUGGAUACAGGAAGAGGGAGAGAAAGUAAGGACCAAAACAUGAAGCCAGUCAUGAAUGUUUUUACAUAAAAAGCAGCAGAUUUACGGGAGAAACCAGGAGAAGGCAGUCCUAGGGCAGUCUCCGGGCCAGCUUUCCCUAAUAAGAAGGCAGAGCUCCUCUUCACCCAGACUUCAGACCUAUAGAGGCAGCCUGGGGUCCCGGGAUGCCCUUGCACUCAGAGAUGUCCCCAGAGUCCUAGGGAAAUGGAGGAUAACUAGGAGGAAGCUGUUCAUGGCUGGCGAUGAGGUCUAUACCUUCUUGUCCGUCUCAGUGCUGUCUGCUAUUGAAUUUUUGUGCAGAUCACAUUAACUUAAAGCCAGUUCUCAAGAAGCUCCCCCUGCCGCCGGCAUAUCCACCAGUUGCUCCCCUUUCCUGCCAUUAAUCAGGGUCUGCUAGUUAGAGAACAAAUUCCUAUUUGUCCAAACAGUUGCCAACACCCCCACCCCAAGGUAGUUAAAUGAGGAUGAAUGGGUCAUUCUUAUUAAAAAAUGACUUAAAUUUCUCAAAUUCUAUUUAUGUUUCUUUUACAUCCCAAUUUUCUAUAGAUUUAGUGACUCCAAAUGAUAAGGUCUCAAGCUCAUAAUAAUUUAUCCCUUGGGUAACACACAAGGCUUGGUGGUAUUUCAGUAAUAUUCAUGACAACAGCAGCUGUCGUGCUAAUAAGGACUGAUGUCACCAGAGCACUUUCUAUGUGCCAAGCAUGGUGCACAACACUUUACAUACAUUAUGUCAUUUAAUUUUCACAAAACCUCACAGAGGUAAAUAUUAUUAUCUUCCUCUGCAUAUAAGGAAAUGAAUGUUCGGAAAGAUUAAGUCAACUCACUGAGGUCCCAUCAGUGCUCUUUCAUAUGCCUCUGUUGCAGUCUCAUUGAACUGCUGAAAUCAGAAAAACCUGGAGACCUUGUUAACCUUCAGAUUCCUGGGCCCCAUCUUAGAUGCAGGGAGUCAGACUUCCUGGGAGUGUGGCCCUGGAAUUUUCAUUUGUAAACACAUUCCCCAAGAGACCUGUAUGCACACUAAAGUGGGAGAAUUCACGAUCUCUGGCUUUUGUGAUGUUUUAAACGCACUAUAUAAUUUCAGUAGCAAAAGAAUUGGGCUUUGGGAAGGGAGUGUGUGGUGAACCCUGAAAGCUGAAUGGACUUCCUUCCUGUGGAGGAGCAGUGGGAGAAACUGGAGGCAGAGAGCUGUGUUUCAUUCCUUGAUUGAGCCUUUGUGAGUUAUUUAAUCUCUUUCAGUCUCUAUUUUUUUCAUUUGUAAACCAGGAAGGAUACUUGUAUUUUCCAGGUGGUUGUGAGGUGUGAAAGAGAUGAGAGUAGAACAAAAUUUUAAAAGUUGAAAGCACUCAACAAAUGUAUUUGGUAUUAAUCAUGGGUUUCCCUGGGGCCGAGGAAGCCACCAGCCACCGCAGGCCUGUACACAAUGCCAGCCACCAUGUAUGGAUACGGAGGAGGCAAAAGGACUAGCGAACACUCCCAGGGACUGGAUGUCUUGAAUAUCUGUCCAACUUUCUUGGGAGGGGCCAUUUCUUCUGUAACUCAAAGGAAUUUAUUAUUUUUCAGCCAGGGAGGCAUGCUUUCUAUCUACUGCUAGUACUCCCAGACCAAGCUGUUUCAGUGGGACUGAGGUGUGACUUCUGCCUCGGUUUCAUCCAUCUGUGCAGGGAAGAGAAAAAUGCCUGCACCUCCACGGUCACACCCUCUGUUGGAACCACCUCCUUAAGCCAGAAUUAUUGAAUGUUCUCUAUGUGCCAGAAUUAUUAUUAUCUCAUUUGAUUCUCACAACAAUGCCAUGAAGUCUAUACAGACAUACCUUGGAAAUACAGCGGGUUUGGUUCCAGACCACCGCAAUAAAGCUAAUACCGCAAUAAAAUGGGUCACACGAAUUUUUUGGAUUAGGCUUCGGCUUAAGGGAAUGUUGUGGCUGGUUUGAUGUUUUAUCCAGACCGCUAACACUUUCUCCCUAUCAGCAAUGAGGCUGUUUUGCUUUCUUAUCAUUCCUGUGUUCACUGGAGUAGCACUUUUAAUUUCCUUCAAGAACUUUUCCUUUGCAUUCAUAACUUGGCUAACUGUUUGGCACAAGAGGCCUGCCUAGCUUUUGGCCUAUCUAAGCUUUUGACUUGCCUUCCUCACUGAGCUUAAUCAUCUCUAGCCUUGGAUUUAACGUGGAAAAUGUGUGACCCUUCCUUUCACUUGAACACUUGGAAGCUAUUGUAGGGUUAUUAACUGGCCUAAUUCAAUAUUAUUGUGUCUCAGGGAACAGGGAGGCCCAGAGAGAGAGAGACGGGAAAACAGAAAGUCAGUGGGGCAGGCAGAACACACACGUUUAUUUAUUAAGUUUGCUGUCAUAUGUUGGUGCAGUUCAUGCUGCCCCAAAACAAUUACAAUAACAAGAUCAAAGAUUCCUGGUCAUAGAUUGCCAUAACAGAUACAGUAAUCACGAAAAAGUUUGAGAUAUUGUGAGAAUUACGCAGAUAUUGUGAGAAAUAUGACCCAGAGACAAGAAGCGAGCACAUGCCGUUAGAAAAAUGGCACCAACAGACUUGCUUGCUGCAGGGUUACACAUACCUUCAAUUUGUAAAAAAAAAAAACUGUAAUAUCUGCAAAACGCAAUAAAGAAAAGUGUAAUAAAAUGCAGUCUGCCUGAACUUCAAUUAUUCCCAUUUUAUAGAAGAGGAAAUAGAUGCAGGGAGUUUGAUCUGCCUGAACUAGUAAAUGGUAGAACUCUGGGACUAACAUUCCUAUCCUCUAUGCUACAUUCCUAGGAAAGAACGCUCAGACAGGGUUGGACUGAGAGUGUGUUAAGCUUUGCACUGUUUUGAGCCCUCUGAAGGAGUGUCCGUAUUUGAAAGCUGGCCUCCUUCCUUUCACUGGCCCUCCACAGUGUGGCCUAAGUUAUUCAAUUAGGAAGGGAAAUAAUUGGCAGUGGAGAAUGCCUCUAGCAGUGGUAAUUACCUCCAGUGCCUUGUAGGAAUAGUCAAGCUACAUUUCAGUUUAUGCUGUAAAACCUUAAUUAUAAUAUAAACAGCUGCCCUUCAGCCCAGUGGGGCAGCCUUCCCCCGCCUUCCUUCUCUGGCCUCUGAAUGGCCCUGCCUCCUGAAUGGUCAGGGAGGUCCAGGGACGGAAGGAGACCUGGGAGGAGGGGAGCCGAUGACUAUGCGUGCGUUGGGGUUUGGAAGACUAAGCUGGAGGGAGCCACUGCCAGGGUCCCAUCUUCAAGUGAUGAAGCCAAAGGCAGCAUCCCCAUUCUUGGUACCACUCACACUGAGUCUCUUGGGGGAGCAGCCUCCAGCCAUUAGCAGUCAGCCCAGUGCCAUUAGGCUAGGAUAGGGUUUAGCAGGCUAUGGUAUCAUUUCAGGGUAACAUCUCUUUCUAUUUACUCCCCUAUAAGGGAGAACAGAGUCUUCCCUUCUAGAUCCAGACUUCCUGGCCAUGUAGGAGCCCUGUUGAGUGCCUGGUGCACUCUAGGUAGUAUGCGAGGCAUGGUUGCAAGGGUUCCCCAUUUCAACUUCACAGCACUUGGAUACACAGAAAAUUAACAUCCUCAUUUGACUAUUGAGGAAAAUGAGACUUUGAAAGUUUAAACGGAGAUAAGGCUUGGGAGGCAGACAGCCCUGUAAGUGACUUAAGUUCAGGAAGGAGAAGGACACUCAAUAUUUUUGUUCAGAGCACUGGGAAGGAGAGAGAGGGAUCAGUCACCAUCGGGCAUUUGAGAAGGUCCAGGAACAGGGGGCUGGUGAGCAGAGGGGGGAAUAACACCAGAGGGGCUGAAAUUGCUGAUUGCUGGGUUCACAGAUCUACCCACGAGCGGCCCAGGUACCCCAUGAGCGGCUGCUCUGUGUCAUCUGACCACUGGAUUGUAACCUGGGCUGAAAGAAUCAGAAGUCAGUGUGGCGAGGCAGGAGUCCUCAGAUGGUCAGAGCUGACUCUUCAACUCUUAAGGGCAAAAUGGAAAAUGUGAGCUUGUUGGUGGUCUUCGAAACACAGUAAGCAAUCCAUGCCCCUGAAGAGCAGGGAUAAUUAUAGGCAUGCCCUUGUUUUAUUGUGCUUUGCAGAUAUUGCAUGUUUUUACAAAUUGAAGAUUUAUGGCAACUCUGCAUACAGCAAAUCUAUUGAUGCCAUCUUUUUCCAAUAUCACAUGCUCACUCUGUGUCUCUGUCUCACAUUUUGGUAGUUCUCCCAAUAUUUCACACCUUAUUAUUAUUAUUAUAUCUGUUAUGAUGAUCUGUGGUCAGGGAUCUUUGAGGUUACUAUUGUAGUUGUUUUGAGGUGCCAUGAACUGCACCCAUGUAAGACAGCGAACAUAAUCAAUAAAUGUUGUGUGUUCUGACUGCUCCACCAACCGACUGUUUCCCUGUCUCUUUCUCUCUCCUCUGGCUCCCUAUUCCCUGAGGCACAAUCAUAUUGAAAUUAGGCCAAAUAAUAACCCUACAAUGGCUUCUAAAGGUUCAAGUAAAAGGAAGAGUCACAUCUCUUACUCUAAAUCAAAAGCUAGAAAUGAUUAAGCUUAGUGAGGAAGGCAUGUGGAAAGCUGAGA
rnacentral:lncRNA from 10 species